CAGUCGCCGCGGUAGUACGAAGGGUGCAAGCGUUACUCGGAAUUACUGGGCGUAAAGCGUGCGUAGGUGGUGGUUUAAGUCCGUUGUGAAAGCCCUGGGCUCAACCUGGGAAUUGCAGUGGAUACUGGGUCACUAGAGUGUGGUAGAGGAUAGUGGAAUUUCCGGUGUAGCCGUGAAAUGCGUAGAGAUCGGAAGGAACAUCUGUGGCGAAGGCGACUAUCUGGGCCAACACUGACACUGAGGCACGAAAGCGUGGGGAGCAAACAGGAUUAGAUACCCCUGUAGUCCUGUCUCUUAUACA
rnacentral:rRNA from 1 species